rnacentral:rRNA from 1 species
UGGCGGACGGGUGAGUAACGCGUGGGUAACCUGCCUCACACUGGGGGACAACAGUUAGAAAUGACUGCUAAUACCGCAUAAGCGCACAGGACCGCAUGGUCCGGUGUGAAAAACUCCGGUGGUAUGAGAUGGACCCGCGUCUGAUUAGCCAGUUGGCGGGGUAACGGCCCACCAAAGCGACGAUCAGUAGCCGACCUGAGAGGGUGACCGGCCACAUUGGGACUGAGACACGGCCCAA